GAUGGCACCAGAAAUUUUGUGGUCCCAACCAAACUGCAAAGGAUGUUGCAAAUGCAGUCUUCCUGUGUGGCCAGGAAGAAGAAAUAGAUUUGGUGAGCAUAGAGAAUUAUCUCUGCCACAGUAAUUCUACUUCUUAUUUUGGAGAGAUGAAGAGAACGAGGCCAAAUGGUUACUCUUAGCCCUCAUGGUAGACCUGGGUAGAUCUCAGAAGAAAAUUUGUAAUUUCUAUUGCACUCCUGAAGACAUUGAUCCACGCUUGCCUUGUCAUCAUUUUUUACCACAGAAACAUGAUUUAACCCAAGACUGUGGUUUAUUCCUUAAUUUGCAUCAUGUGCUCCCAGUGCCUCAUGGGAAUAAAAGAAAUGAUUUAGAGGCUAUCAGUCCUCUACCCACUGAGGCUUAUACUUCCUUGUAAAAGGGCAUCCAACCACAUCUUAAGAGUUUGCAAGAGUAAUAGUCAUGAUAAUAGUUAACAUUUAUUAUGUGCCUGCUAUAUACUUAGCCCCAUGGUAGGCAUGUGUUAGACCUACCUUAUCGAAUCCUCUCAUUUAAUCUUCAAGAUUUACUUUGACCAAGUGACUUAGAAGGUGACUAAUUUCUAAGGAUGGAUUUCUAAGUGGCUUUGAGGAAAAGAACAAUUAUAAUUCCUUUUAAGGUGUUCCCCUCGAGAACAGCAGUCACUUGGUUGGAUAGGUUCUGACGGGUUUGUGAAGACACGGGUCACAUGACCAUAGAGUCCCAUCUCAAGUGACUUGGUGGGGGCCUGGGGCUGGCCUGUCAUCACUUCUGUUGGCAGAUGGGGUUGCCCAUUGGCUCUUCAUUUUUGUUGUUGCUUGCUCACCCUGCAAGCUCGCAGUCAAAAUGGUAGACAGAUCUCCUUGUCCAUCUAAGUGGACAGAACAGUUUGUUAAAGAUGAAGGGCAUCGGUAUUCUCUUGGGGGUCUUGGGAUCUGUUUUGGGGAGAUGUGCUUUGGGGGGGGGGUCCCUGACCGAAAAGUAACUGCAGUGAUUGGGAAGGUAGUAUUCAUGCAUCCGGACACUUUCAUGGAUGAAAUUAGUGUCUCUGGACAUCCUUCCUUCUUCUGGAGGUAGUGGAUGGAUCUGAUCCUUGUCCAGCGAAAAUCCCUAUGCUCCCUAUGCAUUACUCAGAUUUAUCCUAUAUAAAGACAUGUGGUUGAGGGAUAUCUGAAUCCCUCCUUCUCUCCUCCACAGAUCUAGAGAUGGUCCUAAAGAUACAUUUCCCAGGAACUCUUACGGGGCUGGGGUCAGGUGAAAUAAGAGGUCAUCAAGUUGUUGGAGGGAGACCUAGUCUUUGGGGCACCUCUAUCACAAAAGAUGUUUUCAUUUGGGAUGGACACUCAAAAAUAUUUUGCGAACAGGUUUUCAAGGAAACUUUAUGCCACAAAGACAAUGGAAGACCUUUCCUUAUGCCCAAAGAACACCGUCUAGCGAUGCCAAAGAUGAGGUUCGAAUCUGGACGGAUAGCUUUUUAAAUUAUAGCUUCUGUUUCAAUGUCAUUAGUAUUUCUGAUGAAAAUGGGCUAAAGCAAAAGUCUUUUAAGGUGUAAAAUCAUAGCUUUUAGUUCCGGAAAUAGACAUUUUAAAUUUCCUCGCUCAACUCAACUGUCCAAAGGAGAAGGGAAAAGGCAGCUUGGCAAAUGUUUUGAAGCUCUUUCAGGAGAACAGGGAAGAAUUGCACAGAUGCUCUUAACUGUGUGCCUACACACUCCCCCAGGGCCUUUCAGGCCAUGAAUUUGGCCGUGGUGGCUUCAUGGGGCAGUCUUGAAUAUGGAGUUACCAGAGAAGGUGAGCUCCAUCUUCUAUCCAUUAGUGAGGUACCAUGCUGCUGGGCUGGAGCAUCUGGUAUAGCCAGAUGAAACAAGGCAAGAUUAAAGAAACACCAGAGCAAUUGACUUCACUUGACUUCGUAGGAACAUCCACACUGUGAGGGUGACCUAGGUCUUUCUCUCUGUUUUCUGAUCAUCAGAGAUUGGCUUUGGUCUCUGCCCUCAUACUUCAAUGUUCUGACACCACCAGGACCAACCCCCUCCUCCCCACCCCUAUCCCUGCAAUAUGUAUCCUGGGUGUGAUAUUCAUAAGAUAAUCAAAUAAGCCACUAAACAACUAUAUAGCAUGUUAGUAAGGCUGUUUGAUUUGAAAGUCUUUUGCUAAAUAACCAUAAUAGCCAUUAGCUGCUAGAGAUAGGUUAAUGACGAUCAUAACAUUUAUUACUGAAAGUAUCUGUUAUCUUCCUGAGAGACGCCCUCUUUUUAUCACAGUUGGGCUGAUUACAUUUCCAUGGUCAACAUUUCACUAUGGCCUGUGUUUCCCUCGGGGUCCCAUAACUUGUCAAGAACUGAAGCCCGUCAGCCGGGAGCUCCUUUUGGGAAUUUGAUUUUAUUAAUACUUUACGGUUAGUGGCCUUUAAUUAAUGUUAAAUGAAAAUGGGAUUCUAAAAGCAUCACAGAAGACUUUUCACUUGGGUGUCAACAUAACUUACAGUGAUUAAUAAGCUUUAAAUGACCAUUAUAAGAGAUUGUUUGAAAUCCAUUUUGAUGGUAAGACACUGAUUGGAAUAUGUUUAUAAUUAAAAAAAAAAAAGUGUCCCUAGGAGGAAUUUCUGUCUGAUCUUACCAGUAAGAAAUGUAACACGUCUGCCGAACAACUAGUAUGUCCUUAGGGGGUGGCCGUAGGAAGAACAUGCAACAACUUUGUUGGUGGCCUGCCCUGUGUUAUUGUGGGAUUCAUUAUGGGAUGCCUGAAUCAGCUUUAUUUAUCCAUCCCUGUUCCCUUCUACCCACCCUGCUCAGCGCGCGUGCGUGCGCACACACACACACACACACACACACACACACACGCUCGUAUUCUGGAAAAAGGUGGAGUAUAAAUAAACAAACAUUCACAGAGUUUCUCAUGUGUCCGAUGGUGUGCUAUUCGUAGGCAUGGGCUCAUUUAAUUCUCAGAGAAACUCCAUGGGGUAGGUCUUACUAUUCUCCCCGUUUUAUGGAUAAGGAAACCAAAGGCUAACAGUGGUUAAUGACUUGCCCAAGAUCUUCUGCUAGUAAGUGACAGAGUGGGAUUUAAUCGAAGAUUUUCAGAAUUCAGGGUCAGUAUAUUAUCCAGCUUUUCAUGGACAAACAGAUAAAAUUUCAAACCCCCUGCUUUCCUGCCAGUAAGCAUCAGUGACCUGAGAUCAGGACAGGUCUCUGCCUCCAUAAGGAAACAGGGCAGACAAGGGAUCAGAGCAGGGCCCUGUGCAUCCGGCUAGACAAGCUCGGUGGAGGGCGGGAGAGGCUAUAUUACUGGCCACCAAUGCCCCAGAGCCAGUGGUUGCCCCUCUUACCCAGUAGUCAUGGGCUACCAGCUGCAGGGGAGAUAUGAACUGCUUUCAGAGGGCGGUGUUUAGAAGAGAGUCCUGACUCUGCCCUGUUUCAUAACACCAUUCAACAUGUUUACUCUAAUACUCUCCUGUCCAUAUUUCUGUAUAACCCAUUUUCAAAAUGGGUCUGAAACGUCACAGAGAAGAGGAGAUUUGAAUCAAUCCUGGCUUCUCCUUUCCCCAGUCACUCAGGGCUGAGUUUUCACCCAGGCCACCCUGCCCCACCCCUGAGCCCUCCCUGGGACGUCUGGCCUCUCCUCCCCCACUGCAGGGUCUUUUCUCUCGGAGGGAUACAAACUUCUUUGCUGGAGAGCCACAGCCAAGCAUAAAUAGGAUUCUGAGGGGUGAUAUGAAAUAGUGCCAGUUACAUUUGUUAGUAGGUGCUGGGUGCAAGGUACACAUGGCAGGUUCACUAUCUGGUUUGUUCCUCACACCUAUUUCUCCUUUAUCAGUUUCUCCUGCCAAAACCAUGCCAAAACGUCUGCAGCUAUGCACAUCCCCGGCGGUGGGUGAAUGUGUUGAUCGUGAGUCUUUCGAUGGUCUGAGUGUGCUGCUCUCUGGGGUCCUGGGUAUUAGAGAGUUCAAUGGCAACAGCAAUGAGGCCCCUCUGUGGGCCCGUUACCUGCCUCACUUGGCCCCAGACCCACACAGCUGGGUGGGACCGGGUGCUCUUACCCAAUCUCCCCCCUCGAGGGGACCAGAGCUCCUUUUACAGCUGUAAUUUUCCAUCCCUUGGCAUGAUUAUUGGUUCAUGUCUACCUCCCCCUCCCACAGCUGUUCACCAAGGUGCCACCAGGGCCCAGUGUGUCUUUGGUCCUGGCUGGCCAUCAGGAGGGGUCUCCUGAGUGGUUGCAUGAGCGAUGAGUUUGCAGUCCCCAGGACAGCCUUGCGUGGGGGCCCUUGCUGAUUGGUGGGAAGCUCAAGGUCAGCUGAUGCCAUCUCAUUCCUGUGUCUCAUUUAAACAAAAGACAUUGGCGGGUUAUCUGCGGAGAGUGAUCUAUAGAUGUGUGAGUCUUCCAGUGUGCCACACAUUGGCCACAACCUGCACUCACAUCUGUCAGGACAGAGGAGCUGCUGAACUUUAGAGCUGAGAAAAGUAAACGUGGCCAUGGAAACGGUCUGCUUAAUUGGUUGAACUUUAUAAUGGGCCCUUCUGGAGCCUUGUGUGCAGAAACUUAUCUCUCAGGUCCUGGUGGGUGGGGGAGUCGCUGUGACAGCUCAUCCUUGGAUAUCCCUGCCUCCCUGUUGUGCAGCCUGCAGCCUCCUUCCUUCUUAGCCCCUGUGUGUGUGCAGGUGUAUGAGUGUAUAAAUAAGUGUGUGCACGUGUGUAUCCGUAUGUGAGUAUAUGUGUCCGUCUGUGCCCAUGUAACUACGUUUGUGGGAGUGUGUGCAUAUGUACGUCCAUAUAUGUGUUGGGGGUGAACAUAUGCAUUUGUGGGUGGGUGAGUGUGCACAGGUGAGCGUGUGCCUCUGUGUGUGUGUUCAUGGCUUGCGUGCAUGACUGUGUUUGUGGAAGUGUGCUUCUCUGUGUGUGCACGUCGUGUCUGUAUACACACACGGUGGAACUUUGUUGGGAAUGUACCUGGCAGUGUGCGUCUGUGUGUAUGAGUGUGUGUAUGUGUGUGUGUGCGCGCGCAUGCACACGCGGUGGUGGGAAUGUACCUGGCAGUGUGCACGCAUGCACGUGUGUGUAUGAGUGUGUGUGUGUGCGCACGUGUGUGUGUGUAUGCCCGCGUGGUGGCAUAUUGAUGGGAACACACGUGGCAGCGUGCGCGCGCGUGUCUGUGCGUGUCCGCGUCUGGUCUGCGCAUGCCCCGGUGGCCCCCAGCUGCGAGGCAGAAGAUGCCGGUGCUGCGCCCUCGUCUCUUGAUGUUAUCGCUUCGGCUUCCAGAGUCUGGCAGGAGACGCAGAAUUAAACGCAGACGCUGUGGUGCCAAAACAAAAUCGUGAAAAGAUUUGAAGCCCCCGUUCCCUAGACUCGCAGCCUAUCGAACUGGGAACAAGCCCGGCUUUGUUUCAUUUCCUGCACUGAAUGGGGGUGGAAGAGUCUGGAGCCGCAUUGGUUCCGAUAGCGGAGCUGACUCGAAGCCAGAGAAUUUGAAAUUGCUGAAACCCCAGGCAGAAUGGAGACAGCAAGAUGUGAUGGAGAAAAGCCUAUAUGCAGGGGGAAAAGACAUUCUUACCUUGAGUUAGGGAUGAGAAGUGGCAGCUUAAUACUGAGAACUAGAGAAGCACAAAGAGGAAAAAAAAAAAAAAGAAGAAAAGAAAAGGUGGUCCAGGUCCAGGCAAAGAAACCAGGCAGAGGUGGAGAGCCAAUGCUCUCAACUAGCUGUGAGACACUGGGUGAUACUAUUCCGUCCCCGGGUCCCAGGCUCCUCAUCUGUAACGCGAAGAGCUCAGCUAUGGCAAGUGCAUAUUCCCCUGUGCGUUCGCUGUAACUAAUUCAGAGCGACCUGGUGACGCGUGUCGAAGACGUUGCUGAGAUCGCCCCUGAGAUCGGUUGGAAAGGAUACCACGAGUGAUUGGCGAGGUCUGCCACGAACAGAUGAGAGAGAGAAAGAGGGGUAUGCGUGGUGCAAAUUUCCACUCUUGGACUAGAUGAGCCUGUGGUCCCUUCCAGCUCUGAUAUUCUAAACUGUGUGAUGAUAUCUCAACAACUUUGGAACACGGAGGAAGAAAAAAUGAUUAGGCCCACCAGUUUCAUAUUGGGCAUCCCUGCUGUAUUUCGCUUGGUGGAGUCUGCUAGAGGUGCUUCAGGUCUUGUCUCGGUACAAGAAGUGAUGCAUUUAAAGAGUUCAAGGUACCAGCGAUGCUUCCCUGUGACCCAACGAGGGGACCCGUCAGUUCACCGCAUGUUUGACCUCUGCCUGAAUUCUGCCGCGUAUGUGAAGGUUAUAAUGAAGUUGGUUGGUUUCAUGCAAAGCCCCUUUAACAACAUGGGAGGCAGUGUUUGGGGAACAUUGCUGAAAUUGACAUUUGAUAAAUUGAAGAUCUACGAUAAGUGUGUUAAUGUUACUGUCAGAGGCUUCCUUUUUUCACUUUUAAAUGUCUGAACAUGAAUACCUUAGGAAUUUGAGAUUAGCCUUGGUAUUAAGCUUAAAAUGGUUAAUUCACAUGAACGUUGGCCAUGAGGAUUCCUUUUCCUCUUCGUUAGUAGAAAGACGAUAUUAGCUUGUGUAAUUAUAUCCCUAGGUGGCAUUAACCACAGAAUUGAAGGUUUGGCUUCCUUCUGGCAAACAAACCUCCAUUUCUGACUUGACGCUCGCACAGCUCACUUGUAUAAUCACGCUACAUGUGAGGGUGGAAAUUAGAUCUAGGGUUGCUGAUUUAUAUUCCAUGAGCUGAGUUUUCCUGUGCCAGCCCAGAAAAAUCUUAACAUUGCUGAAGUGUUCAUUUUUUUUUUUUUUUUUUUUUUUUUUGUGGCUUCUACAGACCCUGUAAAUGAUCCAGGAGGGCAGAUUUGGGUAUAUUACCCCACAAGUUCUAAUUAUGGAUGUAAUGAUUGGUGAACAUUUAAAGCAAAAGCCUAAAUGCUAAACGUGGACCUUCUUGUUUUUACAUGAAAAGGUCAGCAACCCAGUGUCAACAGUUUUAGACAGCUUGGGUUAUACCUCUAAGAAAUAAUCAAAGUCAGCAAGAAAAAACAAACCCAGACCAUUCCGCUGCUCAUAAAUGAAGGAAUCCAGUUGUCUUCUGUGUUGUAACUGACACGACCUGACAUGCUCAUUUUUUUUUUUUUUUUUUUUUUUUUUUUAGUCUUUGGGUUUUGAAUAAUUGCUUCUUGCAGAAAGCCUAUAUUUUCUGUACUCUGUGGUUGCCAAGUUGUACUUGACUUUUAAAAGAGAGUCAAAGGAACGUAUCCUUGUGAGAAAUUGCUGCUUUGUGGAGUACAAAUGAGAGGUUUCAUGAUCUUUGAAGCUAGGAAGGCCAAAUCCGGCUCAGAAACCCCAUUGCCAGGCUGCAUUUUAUAUUCUCUGUUGCUCUACUGUCCUUUUGCUGGAAGUGGGGGAAAAAAGAUGUCAUGGAGAGUAAGGGUCCAGCUAAGUGAUUCUCCAUCUGGUUCAGAAUGUAGAAAGUUGUCCCUGGCCAUUGUGGUCCAGAAGUUGGGCUGAAUGGCAGCUUGCUCCAGACCUAGACCAGUGGGCCUCAAGUGGGGACAGUUUUGUCCCCGAGGGGACAGUGGGCAAUGUCUGGAGACCUUUUGGUGGUCGUAACUGGUGGGGAGUGGGCAACUAUAGUUAGCGGAUAGAGGCCAGGAGUUGCUGCUAUGCAUUCUACGCUGCACAGGACAGCUCCCUGCCCCCACGACAAAGGAAUAUUCUGUCCCAAGUCAAUAGUGCCCGGUGGAGAAAUGCUGACCUGGAAGGUCGCUCUUUCUAAUAGGUAGGUAGGUACGUAGGUAGGUAGGUGGGUAGAUUUAUGUAUAUAUAUAAUUUAUUUAUUUUGAAAGAGAGAGAGCGAGAGCACAUGUACAAGUGGGUGAGGAGGACAGAGAGAGGAAGAGAGAGAAUCCCAAGCAUGCUCCACACUGUCUAGCAGAGCCCGACGUGGGGCUCGAUCCCACGGACCUCGAGAUCAUGGCCUGAGCUGAAAUCAAGAGACGCUCAACUGACGGAGCCACCCAGGCGCCCCUGGAGGGGUGGCUCUUCAUACCAGAUGUGAAGUUUCCUACUCCACUCUUCACAGCGGGGGGAAGAGAUCAGAAAGGAGACCCAGUGCCUUCCUUCCAACAAAAUGUUCUCUUUAUUUGGCACCUCAUUUCUUGGGGCCUCUCUUAAAGACAGCGUUGGAAUUGUAGGAAGCAGGAAGCAAGCACCCCUACCUGUAGGAGGGCUAUGGAGCCAGUGCAAACACACAGCUUCUUCCCACACUGCUCGGUAAGCCAUCGGCAAGAUCCUGCAGGCCUGGACUUAUUUUCUUUCUUUCUUUCUUUCUUUUUUUUUUUUUUUUUUUUUGUCAAGUGUUUCAUAAAAUGCUUUUGUCCCAGGUUAACUUUCCGCUUCUUUGUUGUUAAAAAGAAAAAAAAAAAAGGUUUCUCGGAAGGGAAACACUUUGACAAACAGAUUAGAAAGUUGUCCAAAGUCACCAAAACUGCUGGUCUGUGUGAAACCUUGCUGACAUGUGAGUAUUCUUGCUCAACCACAUCUCCAGUCAAACAAAACCACUUCCAUUGGCUCUCUAGAAUCAAAAUGUCUAAGCAUUCUGGGGGCUGACCGUGGCCUGUGAAACGGUGUAUAAGCCAAGGUGGACCACUCCCUGGCCUCUGAGGCCCCUUCCCACUGUGUGAGCACUGCUGAUUCUUGGGGCAGCUCGAGGCAGGAGGAAAGUGAACAAAAGACAUUUGUACUGAGACGUUUAUGUUUUAGCUGACUUUCCUCCUUUGCUUUUUAACUCGAGAGAGAAUGACACGAGUGGAAGGGGUGAUACCCACUAUGGUCGUUUCAGAAAUUGCGGGUGGUGAUGGUUGGGUGGGGUGGAAGUCUUGGGAUCCGGAGCUCUUUACCUCCGUAACACACGCAAAGUGAGCCGGCCCUCCUUCCCACCUUCCCACUGUAAGCAAACGUUUAUUGCACUACCCAGCACUAAUCACCCUGAAGAAUGGGAAAUUGAGUUAAGCAUGUUUUCUGCCCUGUGCUUGGUUAGGAGUAUCUUAUUUAAGGUUCAAAAACAACCCUAGGAGUAGAGAACUUUUGUUAUCUUCGUUUUGCCGAUGAGGAAACUGAGGCGUAAGAAAUGAAAUGAUCUGUUGCAGGUUACAAAACUAGUAACUAUGUGAAAAUCUGAACUUAGGCAGACGCCUUUGUGUUUUCUAGAUUCUGCCACACAGUAGGAGCUCAACAAAUGUCCCUGAGCUGGAAUUUUGUCCACAUAGGAAGUGAAGGCAUAUAUAUGCAUAUCACUUGUAGUUUCAACUCCAUGUGCUGAGCACACCAACAGUCAAAUCUCGGGGAUCUAUAGCACGUAUGAGGUGGUCAAGGAGAGCCUGUCCCUCCCGGCAUGUCCCGACGUGUGGCUUGGAAGUGAGCACAUCUUGCUCAGUGAUUCUGAUGCUUAAAGAUCAUUUCCUGGGGGUGCCUGGGUGGUUCAGAUCGUUGAGCGUCUGACUCUUGAUUUUGGCUCAGGUCGUGAGCCCGGGGUGUGGGAUCGAGCCCUACGUUGGGCUCCGUGCGGAGCGUGGAGCCUGCUUGGGAUUUCUGUCUCUCUCCCUCUGCCCCUCUUCUUCUUGUGCUCUCUCUUUCUUUCCUCCUUGGACCCUGGGGCCCUCAAUGCAGACCAUCUACUUUGUCAUGGUUCUCAGUUGAAGAAAUGGGGAUCUGUCUCAACACUGGAGAAAAUCCUGGUCAGGGUGCCAUACGGGGAUGUGGCCUAAGCCGCAGGAGACACACAGAUGGUCUAGAGCUGCACCGUCCGAUACUUUAGGCAGCUCCUGGGCCCUCAGAAAGUGGCUAGUCUGAGUCAAGAUGUACAAUACGUGUGAAAUUCACACUGGAUUUUGGACUUAGUACAAAAAAGUAAAAUAUCUCACUAGCAAUUUUUUUUUACAUUGAUUCUGUGUUAGGUUAAGCAAACUGUAUUAUAGAAAUGAAUUUCACCUCUUUCUUUUUAUAUUGUGAAUGCAGCAAACAGAAAAUUGUAAAUUACUUAUGUAGCUGUCAUCGUACCUCUAUUGGACACUGGUGGGCAAUUCAGUGAGUUUUCAAGGAAAAUAUGAUUCAAUGUGCUAAUUUUGUGGCCUGAUUCCCCCUACCCCAAAUGAAAAUGCAACUCCAUUAUAAUUGUCAACAUAAUCCUAGGAAGUAGGUGUCGUUACAUUUUUACAAAUGAAAAAUACAGUGUUCUGGCAGGGUUAGAUUAUUAGAUUACUCUGACAACCAUUGAUGAUUUGUACCUGGGAGUUGAAUUCAUGUCCAUUUGAAUUCAAUCCUGGUUUCUUUUCCUUGUAGUUUGUGAAAAGAAAACCAGAGAGCGGAAGAGAAGGAGAUGUGACCACCCUUUCAGUCAAGUACAUGCCGAGGCCGCAAAUUUCCCGAGCAUUUUCUUACCAUUGCUACUUACUUAGAUGCAGACAGUGUACAAAUUCCAGCAAAUUGGGGGUUCUGGUUAGUUGCUCUUCAGUUAAUCCAGGUUUCAUGGAAUAUUUCAAUUUUGAAAGUUUCCUGUAAAAAGCAGAGAACCUAGGGGGCGCCUGGGUGGCUCAGUCGGUUGAGCGUCCGACUUCAGCUCAGGUCAUGAUCUCACGGCUUGUGAGUUCGAGCCCUGUGUCGGGCUCUGUGUUGACAGCUCAGAGCCUGGAGCCCGCUUCAGCUUCUGUGUCUCCCCCUCUCUCUGCCC